GGAAAACGGUGUAUGUGCUUCAGAGAGCCACCCACUGUGCCAAGCACGGCGACGUAAGCCGUCUCAUUUGAACCUCCUCACAACAGGAUGGGGCUUUGGACUGAGCGCUCUGGACCCAUUAAUGCAAGGUCUGACUCUUCCAGACUGAGAGACUGCUGAAGGAAGAAGCAGUGACCCACGGCUGAGUACAGUGGCCAGGGUUCCAGGGUACACAUCUGUCAAUUCACCCCUCUGGAGGCAUGGGCUGCUGGAAGUGAGUUCCGUGAGAAACUGUUUGGUAUAAUCCGUGAAUACUGAGAGAACUGUAGGCUGUCUGUGGGGAAGAGGGAGCAGGUGUUGCCCUCUCGCCUGUGAAUCA
rnacentral:lncRNA from 1 species